UGAGGUAGUAGGUUGUAUAGUUGAGAAGUACAUCAUUGGAGAUAACUGUGCAACCUGCUAGCUCUCC
rnacentral:pre_miRNA from 2 species